AAGUCGUAACAAGGGUUUCCGUUGGUGAACCUGCGGAAGGAUCAUUACCAAAGAAGAACAGAGAACCGACGUUCAGGGAGGCGGACCUGACGGGACGUCUUGGAACCCCUGUUGGGCACCACCCUAUACCUGCGAAACGCCACCGUCCUAGCGGUGGCGGACGAUGAAUCAGGCACGGUGGCCCGUUCACCUUCACAUAAUUCCCCUGCGUACCACUUCCACGUUGCUUCCCCCGCAAUCCUCACUCAUUGGUGGACGCGGGGGAGGUCUCCACAAACGGCACCUGCACUCAACAGCAGUCAGACGACCAAUGACAAAAUCAUUAAAAAC
rnacentral:misc_RNA from 1 species